rnacentral:rRNA from 1 species
UACGUAGGGUGCAAGCGUUAUCCGGAAUUAUUGGGCGUAAAGAGCUCGUAGGCGGUUUGUCGCGUCUGCUGUGAAAACUGGGGGCUCAACCCCCAGCCUGCAGUGGGUACGGGCAGACUAGAGUGCGGUAGGGGAGAUUGGAAUUCCUGGUGUAGCGGUGGAAUGCGCAGAUAUCAGGAGGAACACCGAUGGCGGAGGCAGAUCUCUGGGCCGUAACUGACGCUGAGGAGCGAAAGCAUGGGGAGCGAACAGG